rnacentral:lncRNA from 1 species
CACACACACACAUAUAUAUAUAUAUGAAUGAACAACAGCAUUCAGUUUGGUGUACUUGUAAAAAUGCCCGACUUUUUAAGUCCUGUUAUUAGGCAUUUGGAAUUUUAAGAAUUAACCCCUCCAAAAGACAUCAUCUGUCAGCCAAUUAUUGCAGAAGGUUGCAAACAUAGUUUUGUGGGAAGACUGAGGAUAAGUGGACAGGAUGGAGACUGAAUGUGUGGGUGUGGGCAUGACCAGGACAUCCUUGCCGGCUGUAAAAGUGGGAGCUACGGAGUAUCACCAGAGUAAGCCCUCUGCAACGACACGAAGGGUGGACAUGAGCCCAGCGCGUAGCAGAUAUAUUUUAACAAGGUCAGGAGCAAGAAUGUUAAAAUUCUUAGGGAAAUAUGCACCUAGUUACCUCUGUGCCUCAGCGUCCAUUUUCAUCACAAGACCAUCAGCCACACGGUUUUGUGAUCACAACGUUCUAGGAUGCUGCAGCACAUGGAGAGAGAGAGCACUUGCAUCUUCUCCAUGUCUCAUUGUCACUAAAGUGUGGGAUCGCUCACUGGCCUUUUCACUGAGGUGACUCCUCUGUCUUUGUGGUCCCAAGGGAACCCUGGCCAUUACUUCUCACUCAAAAAUAAUAAUCAUAACAAACUCACACCUGCCUAUUUUGCCUAUCCUGACCCAUAAGGAACGUAAGAUAGUGUUAAGUCCUCCCACGGUGUAUGCAGCGGCUCGCCUGGUCACAGGGAACUCUGCAGGAUAUUGGAGGAUGGAUGUGCUGGGCUGGCACCCACUACGAGGCAGAGCUGACUUUGAUUUUUCUCCUGAACAAACACUUGUAAUGCAUUAGCCGUUCUCAUUUCCAGCUACACUCAAGCCAGGACCAGAGUCAGAUCUGUCUCUUCUACAAGAACUGCAGACUUGCCAGUGUUUUGUUUGUUUGUUUUGCCUUUUCUUGCCCUCUUUACUCAGAUCCCUCCUGCUAAAAACAAAGACUGGGAGAGAAAGAGAAAAAUCCACUAAUUUAAAUAUUUCUAUUUUGGAGAAAAAGUAAAUUUGUCAUAAUUUUAAAACGCUCUGAAGGACAGGGUGUGGUCACAGAUGGAAGUCCUUCUCUCUCCUGGGCGUCUUAUUCCUUUACAAUAGCAGAUGCUACACGUCUUAGGGCAGGUGGAUUCUAUUUACUGUCAUUCAACUUAACACAAUGCUGGCAGACUAGAUGUGAUCAAGGGCUGCUCAGGUGUGCUGUGUCCAUCUCAGUCUGAUUAUUGGCUUGUCUGUGUUUGAACCGCCAAGGGUCCUCCCUCGUUCUCAUCUAUGUGCCUGGCAUGUACCUAUAGAGUACACAGAUGGAGAGGAGAAAUUAUAUGACUUCUCCUGAGUCCAAUGGGGCCAUGCCAGCCCAUUCUUCACAGACUCAGACCCUCCCUUUCGAAACAAUGUGUACACUAACUAACUGGUUAUAACUGGCUAGAGAGAAGCUAGUCAUGUUGAGAAGGGAAUGCUUGUAUGUUUAAACCAUAAGAAGGAUCAGAAGGACCAGGGCAGCUGAACUCAGACUGCGGAUGAGCUACAUGGGACUCGUUUAUGUCAAUACAAUUACCAGCAGAAGAGUGUCAGGGUCUUUCACCACAUUUCCAAAGCCAGGUUACUUAUUAUCCAGCUUGUUCCUUGCUCUCUUCCUUCCACAGCAUGCAGAUAUUCCCCAAAGUGGACACAACCUUUCUAAUAUUUACAAAAACAUAGUUUAAAGUGAUCAAAACAAUAUACUUCAACAUCAGCUGGAGAACAUGCAUAACUAAUAUCAUGUAUGAGUAAUUCUGUACUCAUGAUAAAACAUGGGCAAAAAAAACCAAUCAAAUGGGAGAAGGCUACUUGGAUGAACACAUGUUCAUAGUAAUUGUCAGAAAGGAAAGGGUGGCUGUAGCUAGAAACUGUCUAGGGACAGGAAACUUUUUAUGAACAAACAAACAUGUCAGAAUG